UCUGAAGCAGUCGAUGUAGGGUCCUA
rnacentral:piRNA from 1 species